AUGUGUGAUGCUAGUGAUUGUGUUGUUGGUGUUGUUCUAGGAAAGAGAGUUGAUAGGAAAUUAAAUGUUAUUCACUAUGCUAGCAAAACUCUAGAGAGUGUCCAACAUAAUUAUGCUACUACUGAAAAAGAAUUUUUAGCAGUGGUGUUUUCUUGUGAUAAAUUUAGAUCCUACAUUGUUGAUUCUAGAGUGAUUGUUCACACCAAUCAUGAUGCAAUAAAAUAUCUUAUGGACAAGAAAUAUGCUAAACCUAGACUAAUUAGGUGGGUUCUUUUGCUACAAGAAUUUGACUUACAUAUCACUGAUAGAACAGGAGCUGAGAACCCUGUAGCUGAUAACUUGUCUAGGUUAGAAAAUAUUCUUGAUGACCCACAACCUAUUAAUGACAGUUUUCUCGAUGAACAAUUAGCUACAAUAAAAGUUUUUCAUAACACUUCUCGAUAUGCUGAGUAUGCUAAUUAUAUUGUUGCUAAAUACAUAGCACCUAGUUUCACAUACCAACAAAAGAAAAUUUGCUUCUAG
rnacentral:rRNA from 1 species